UACAGAGGUCUCAAGCGUUGUUCGGAUUCAUUGGGCGUAAAUGGUGCGUAGGCGGCGCGGUAAGUCGGGUGUGAAAUCUCGGGGCUUAACUCCGAAACUGCAUUCGAUACUGCCGUGCUUGAGGACUGGAGAGGAGACUGGAAUUUACGGUGUAGCGGUGAAAUGCGUAGAUAUCGUAAGGAAGACCAGUGGCGAAGGCGGGUCUCUGGACAGUUCCUGACGCUGAGGCACGAAGGUCAGGGGAGCAAACGGG
rnacentral:rRNA from 1 species